CACGGCAGAGGUGUUGGGGGAGAUGCAGUAAGCUGGAACACUCUUCUGAAUGGAGCUUAGAGCUUUCUGAUGGGUGCGGCACCUCUUGGCAUCUGAGAUCAGGCCCUGCUGAAACUAUUGCUCAAUCAAAGGAGAUGCAUUCCAAAGAAGUCAUCACUCAUUUGCAGUUGUUGCAAAAUUGGUUUCUCUUAUGGAUUAAACCUAUGUAUCUAACACAGCAGAGAAGUUAUAAUUCCACAGUAUCAAUAUGGCUGGAAAGAAUAAUGGCUGAGGUAGCACAGUACAGACAGUUCCACCCUUCAAACAUGUCUUGCUAUGACCUUUGUGCUCCCACCUCCUGUGGCCCAACCCCACUGGCGAAUAGUUGCAA